rnacentral:lncRNA from 1 species
GGAACCAAUUUCAAGUGGCUGCUUCCAGGCUAGGCCAGCCCGGGGGGAGGGGGAACGGGAACAGUGAGCCUGUUUCCAAGCAAAGGUUCAAGGGUCUCCCUUCCUGAGCCCCCACCCCCUUGCUUGGGGCAGCCGUUGAUUCCACCCUGUCAGUCUUGUCGGCAUUUACUCCUUACUCUUUUUCCGGGGCCAAGGCCCAGUGGAGGGACCUAAGGCCCCAGAGACUUUCCGUGCCACUGCAACCCCAUCUUGAGGCGGUUCUUGCGCUUGGUGUGGGGAUGGAUGGAGAGCCUUAGCACAGACCCUCAGGGAAUGGAAUCUCAAGUCUUAAGGUUUUGAUUACUGGGCUAGUUGGGGAUUUAACCUGCUGUGGUUGCUCUCAAAUACCCCUACUGCCCACCACCCCCACCCCACCAGCCUCCGCAUUCAUACCAGAUCCUGGAUCGGAGGCCCGAAAUCUAGUAAUCCAGGGACUUCUUGUGGCAGUAGGCAUAAAGGAUGUUUUCUGAUUUCUAAUUUUCUCACCCGCAACAAGGAUGACAUGGAAUCAGAUCCCCAAGGGCUGUCUUGUUGUGAUCACCAGAUGGUUCCUCGCACCUUCUCUAUGCCAUAGGUCUCCACCUGAAGGCAAAAGAAUUAUCUCCAUGAUGUCUACUUCUGCCUUAGGAUGGGGAAAGGGCUACUCUGCCAGGCAUGGACAAGCACUGUGGAAACACAGAAGCUGCACGGCAUAUUAGAUCUGUAUGAGUCUCCUCCCCCAAUUCAGAAAACUUUCCAACUGCAGCCCUGGGCUCAGGUAACACUGCUUCCAGGAAGGGGGGGGGGGGUGGAGCCCAGUGAAUCCUCGCCCCUUUGUCUCAUCUUUCUAGGCAGAGAUGAGACUGAGAUGGUAACCCUGGCUCCUCAGCAGCUAUCCCAGUGGGAGACAAAAGCUAAGGUUUAAUGUCCUCAAAGAACUCCAGCCAUAGGGAGGCCAGCCCCUCAAAACUAGACUGGGAUAAAAGUUGACUCUGAUAAGCGUGAGAGGUGGGUGGAAAACACGGAAGAGAUCAGUCAGGCAGGCGGCUGUGAGGGCAGGGGAAAAUUAGGAUGUCCCUGGGUGGCUGGCUUUCCACGAGAAGAGCACCCUGACAGUCUUAGCAGACCACUAGGUGGCUGUGACUUCUGCCACCCUUAGACUGGACCACCAGGUACCCUGGACAGUUGGUGCCAGGUCUAAGGAGGUGAGUGAGGCAGAUGCUCAAAGGGUUGGAACAGGCAGAGGUAGAAAACCAAGGGGGCUGGAAAGGUGCAUCUGGAGGGAGAAGAAAGUAGGAAGAAGAGUGUUAGAAAUACUCAGGGGUUUCCUUGAUGGGCCAGAGAGUGGCAAAGAGCAAUUAUUCUGAGGGUAACCUAGAAAGACAGGGUUUUAACUGCAGCAGGCCAAACUACAAUGGACCCAAAUGUAACUUGUUGCCUUAAACGAGCAAGUCACCUGGGACCCAGCCUCAAAGGAAGAUGAAGGGCCUGCCCCCAUUGUUUUCAACUUCAUACAGAAAAAAUAAUUCAGAUUUGGGAGUCUCUGAUCAAUCCUCUUCUGUCUGUGGGAUUUUGGUUAAGUUUAUCCAUCUCGUCAAGUCUGUUUUUGUUUUCUCUUUUAAAAAUGAGAUAUAAUUCAUGUACCAUAAUAUUCAGCCCUUUAAAUCAUACAAUGUGUGGGGUUUUUUUUUUUUUCAUAUAGUCACAAAAUUGUACAACCAUCAUCACUCUCUAAUCCUGGAAUAUUUUCACCUCUUCUAAUAGAAACUUUGUAUGCAUUUGCAGCCAAUUCCCACUCUCCGCUUCCUCCAGCUCCUGGCAACCCCUAAACUACUUUUUGCCUCUAUGGGUUUGCCUCUUCUGGAUUGUUCAUAUAAAAGGAAUCAUACACUAUGUAGCCUUCAUGUCUGGCUUCUUUCACUUAA